AGCACCGUUAGGCCCUCGGCGACUGAACCGUCGUAGCGAGCCGUUCCUUGCGGCUAGGUGCCAAUGAUUCUCCUCCCCACCGUAUGAGGAAACUGCUGAUCCGGCGGCGGAGUUAAACUCGCCGGAAGAUGUAUUCGGAGAAUAACUGCUCAAAAACAAAGCAAGCAGGAGACCAGUCGUUGGUCCAAAAAACAAAAAUACCCAUUUGCUGAUUUUGAGUUCCCCUCCCUUUGCUUUUUCAGCAUUCUCGAGAUCUUUGAUGUGGUCGGAGGGAUCCAAAAGAAGUUUAAAGCAAAGUAAAACAAAGCAAACUUGAGGUUAUUAUUGGAUUAUAGCUGAUGGUGAUAUUCCCUCGGUGGAUAAAGGUCCAAUACACAAUCAUUAAAACAACUGGCUGAUGAGUGAUGAGCGAUGACAAUAGCAAAUGAAUUAGGGAUGUUGCAAUGGACUGAGUUGUUUUGACCCAAUUUUGGUUUAGGGGUCCAAUUUUGUCCUGAUUUGAAGGUUUAGGCUUUGGACCGGCUUGUGGUUGACCACUCUAAAAUGAAUAGGCAGAUGUGUCCAUGGUCUGCGUCGGUGGGGGUUUAGGCUUUAGCCUCAUGCGGACUAAAAUGGACCUAGUUGGAGAAAAUAGAAAUUGGUGUGUGGGUUCUCUUGCCAUCACAAGAUUCACAAUUCCUUGUUUCUAGCAUAUUGAUGUCCAACUUAUGAAAUACUGUAGUUGGUGUCAGAUUCUGUUUUCUAUUUAUGAGAAUUACAAUUGUG
rnacentral:lncRNA from 1 species